CAGUCGCCGCGGUAAUACGUAGGUGGCAAGCGUUGUCCGGAAUUAUUGGGCGUAAAGGGCUCGCAGGCGGUUUCUUAAGUCUGAUGUGAAAGCCCCCGGCUCAACCGGGGAGGGUCAUUGGAAACUGGGAAACUUGAGUGCAGAAGAGGAGAGUGGAAUUCCACGUGUAGCGGUGAAAUGCGUAGAGAUGUGGUAGAACACCAGUGGCGAAGGCGACUCUCUGGUCUGUAACUGACGCUGAGGAGCGAAAGCGUGGGGAGCGAACAGGAUUAGAUACCCGAGUAGUCCCUGUCUCUUAUAC
rnacentral:rRNA from 1 species